UGAGUGGCGGACGGGUGAGUAACACGUGGGUAACCUGGCCCAGAAGCAGGGGAUAACACCUGGGAAACAGAUGCUAAUACCGUAUAACAGAGAAAACCGCCUGGGUUUUCUUUUAAAAGAUGGGCUCUGCUAUCACUUCUGGAUGGACCCGCGGCGCAUUAGCUAGUUGGUGAGGUAACGGCUCACCAAGGCGAUGAUGCGUAGCCGACCUGAGAGGGUAAUCGGCCACAUUGGGGACUGAGACACGGCCCAGACUCCUACGGGAGGCAGCAGUAGGGAAUCUUCCACAAUGGGACGCAAGUCUGAUGGAGCAACGCCGCGUGAGUGAAGAAGGGUUUCGGCUCGUAAAGCUCUGUUGUUAAAGAAGAACGUGGGUGAGAGUAACUGUUCACCCAGUGACGGUAUUUAACCAGAAAGCCACGGCUAACUACGUGCCAGCAGCCGCGGUAAUACGUAGGUGGCAAGCGUUAUCCGGAUUUAUUGGGCGUAAAGCGAGCGCAGGCGGUCUUUUAAGUCUAAUGUGAAAGCCUUCGGCUCAACCGAAGAAGUGCAUUGGAAACUGGGAGACUUGAGUGCAGAAGAGACAGUGGAACUCCAUGUGUAGCGGUGAAAUGCGUAGAUAUAUGGAGAACACCAGUGGCGAAGGGGGCUGUCUGGUCUGUACUGACGCUGAGGCUCGAAAGCAUGGGUAGCGAACAGGAUUAGAUACCCUGGUAGUCCAUGCCGUAAACGAUGAUUACUAAGUGUUGGAGGGUUUCCGCCCUUCAGUGCUGCAGCUAACGCAUUAAGUAAUCCGCCUGGGGAGUACGACCGCAAGGUUGAAACUCAAAAGAAUUGACGGGGGCCCGCACAAGCGGUGGAGCAUGUGGUUUAAUUCGAAGCUACGCGAAGAACCUUACCAGGUCUUGACAUCUUCUGCCAACCUAAGAGAUUAGGCGUUCCCUUCGGGGACAGAAUGACAGGUGGUGCAUGGUUGUCGUCAGCUCGUGUCGUGAGAUGUUGGGUUAAGUCCCGCAACGAGCGCAACCCUUAUUACUAGUUGCCAGCAUUCAGUUGGGCACUCUAGUGAGACUGCCGGUGACAAACCGGAGGAAGGUGGGGACGACGUCAAAUCAUCAUGCCCCUUAUGACCUGGGCUACACACGUGCUACAAUGGAUGGUACAACGAGUUGCGAAACCGCGAGGUUUAGCUAAUCUCUUAAAACCAUUCUC
rnacentral:rRNA from 1 species